rnacentral:rRNA from 1 species
CGGACGGGUGAAUAAUGUAUGGGGAUCUGCCUGAUGGCGGGGGAUAACUACUGGAAACGGUAGCUAAUACCGCAUAAUGUCUACGGACCAAAGCGGGGGACCUCCGGGCCUCGCGCCAUCAGAUGAACCCAUAUGGGAUUAGCUAGUAGGUAAGGUAACGGCUUACCUAGGCGACGAUCCCUAGCUGGUCUGAGAGGAUGAUCAGCCACACUGGGACUGAGACACGGCCCAG